UACGUAGGGUGCGAGCGUUGUCCGGAAUUAUUGGGCGUAAAGAGCUCGUAGGCGGUUUGUUGCGUCUAUCGUGAAAACCUGCAGCUUAACUGUGGGCUUGCGGUGGAUACGGGCAGACUUGAGUUCGGUAGGGGAGACUGGAAUUCCUGGUGUAGCGGUGAAAUGCGUAGAUAUCUGGAGGAAUACCGGUGGCGAAGGCGGCAUCCUGGACCGACAUUGACGCUGAGGAGCGAAAGCUAGGGGAGCAAACGGG
rnacentral:rRNA from 1 species